rnacentral:misc_RNA from 1 species
AACGCACCUUGCGCCCCUUGGUAUUCCGAGGGGCACACCCGUUUGAGUGUCGUGAAAUUCUCAACUCAAUCACCUUUGCUGGUGUUUGGGCUUGGACUUGGGGGUUUGCUGGCUUCGGUCGGCUCCCCUUGAAUGCAUUAGCUCGAACCCUUGCGGAUCAGCUAUCGGUGUGAUAAUUGUCUACGCCGUGGUUGUGAUGCCACCUUCGGGUGUUGGAUCGGCUUCUAACCGUCCCCUAGGGACAAUUUCUUUGAACAUUGACCUCAAAUCGGGUGUGACUACCCGCUGAACUUAA